rnacentral:rRNA from 1 species
GGUUAAGCGACUAAGCGUACACGGUGGAUGCCCUGGCAGUCAGAGGCGAUGAAGGACGUGCUAAUCUGCGAUAAGCGCCGGUAAGGUGAUAUGAACCGUUAUAACCGGCGAUUUCCGAAUGGGGAAACCCAGUGUGAUUCGUCACACUAUCAUUAACUGAAUCCAUAGGUUAAUGAGGCGAACCGGGGGAACUGAAACAUCUAAGUACCCCGAGGAAAAGAAAUCAACCGAGAUUCCCCCAGUAGCGGCGAGCGAACGGGGAGGAGCCCAGAGCCUGAAUCAGCAUGUGUGUUAGUGGAAGCGUCUGGAAAGGCGCGCGAUACAGGGUGACAGCCCCGUACACAAAAGCGCAUGUGCUGUGAGCUCGAUGAGUAGGGCGGGACACGUGGUAUCCUGUCUGAAUAUGGGGGGACCAUCCUCCAAGGCUAAAUACUCCUGACUGACCGAUAGUGAACCAGUACCGUGAGGGAAAGGCGAAAAGAACCCCGGCGAGGGGAGUGAAAAAGAACCUGAAACCGUGUACGUACAAGCAGUGGGAGCACCCUUCGGGGUGUGACUGCGUACCUUUUGUAUAAUGGGUCAGCGACUUAUAUUCUGUAGCAAGGUUAACCGUAUAGGGGAGCCGGAGGGAAACCGAGUCUUAACCGGGCGUUAAGUUGCAGGGUAUAGACCCGAAACCCGGUGAUCUAGCCAUGGGCAGGUUGAAGGUUGGGUAACACUAACUGGAGGACCGAACCGACUAAUGUUGAAAAAUUAGCGGAUGACCUGUGGCUGGGGGUGAAAGGCCAAUCAAACCGGGAGAUAGCUGGUUCUCCCCGAAAGCUAUUUAGGUAGCGCCUCGUGAAUUCAUCUCCGGGGGUAGAGCACUGUUUCGGCUAGGGGGCCAUCCCGGCUUACCAACCCGAUGCAAACUGCGAAUACCGGAGAAUGUUAUCACGGGAGACACACGGCGGGUGCUAACGUCCGUCGUGAAGAGGGAAACAACCCAGACCGCCAGCUAAGGUCCCAAAGUCAUGGUUAAGUGGGAAACGAUGUGGGAAGGCCCAGACAGCCAGGAUGUUGGCUUAGAAGCAGCCAUCAUUUAAAGAAAGCGUAAUAGCUCACUGGUCGAGUCGGCCUGCGCGGAAGAUGUAACGGGGCUAAACCAUGCACCGAAGCUGCGGCAGCGACGCUGAUGCGUUGUUGGGUAGGGGAGCGUUCUGUAAGCCUGCGAAGGUGACCUGUGAGGGUUGCUGGAGGUAUCAGAAGUGCGAAUGCUGACAUAAGUAACGAUAAAGCGGGUGAAAAGCCCGCUCGCCGGAAGACCAAGGGUUCCUGUCCAACGUUAAUCGGGGCAGGGUGAGUCGACCCCUAAGGCGAGGCCGAAAGGCGUAGUCGAUGGGAAACGGGUUAAUAUUCCCGUACUUGGUGUUACUGCGAAGGGGGGACGGAGAAGGCUAUGUUGGCCGGGCGACGGUUGUCCCGGUUUAAGCGUGUAGGUGUGUGUUCCAGGUAAAUCCGGUUCACUUUAACACUGAGGCGUGAUGACGAGGCACUACGGUGCUGAAGCAACAAAUGCCCUGCUUCCAGGAAAAGCCUCUAAGCAUCAGGUAACAUCAAAUCGUACCCCAAACCGACACAGGUGGUCAGGUAGAGAAUACCAAGGCGCUUGAGAGAACUCGGGUGAAGGAACUAGGCAAAAUGGUGCCGUAACUUCGGGAGAAGGCACGCUGACACGUAGGUGAAGUGAUUUACUCACGGAGCUGAAGUCAGUCGAAGAUACCAGCUGGCUGCAACUGUUUAUUAAAAACACAGCACUGUGCAAACACGAAAGUGGACGUAUACGGUGUGACGCCUGCCCGGUGCCGGAAGGUUAAUUGAUGGGGUCAGCGCAAGCGAAGCUCCUGAUCGAAGCCCCGGUAAACGGCGGCCGUAACUAUAACGGUCCUAAGGUAGCGAAAUUCCUUGUCGGGUAAGUUCCGACCUGCACGAAUGGCGUAAUGAUGGCCAGGCUGUCUCCACCCGAGACUCAGUGAAAUUGAACUCGCUGUGAAGAUGCAGUGUACCCGCGGCAAGACGGAAAGACCCCGUGAACCUUUACUAUAGCUUGACACUGAACAUUGAGCCUUGAUGUGUAGGAUAGGUGGGAGGCUUUGAAGUGUGGACGCCAGUCUGCAUGGAGCCGACCUUGAAAUACCACCCUUUAAUGUUUGAUGUUCUAACGUGGACCCGUAAUCCGGGUUGCGGACAGUGUCUGGUGGGUAGUUUGACUGGGGCGGUCUCCUCCUAAAGAGUAACGGAGGAGCACGAAGGUUGGCUAAUCCUGGUCGGACAUCAGGAGGUUAGUGCAAUGGCAUAAGCCAGCUUGACUGCGAGCGUGACGGCGCGAGCAGGUGCGAAAGCAGGUCAUAGUGAUCCGGUGGUUCUGAAUGGAAGGGCCAUCGCUCAACGGAUAAAAGGUACUCCGGGGAUAACAGGCUGAUACCGCCCAAGAGUUCAUAUCGACGGCGGUGUUUGGCACCUCGAUGUCGGCUCAUCACAUCCUGGGGCUGAAGUAGGUCCCAAGGGUAUGGCUGUUCGCCAUUUAAAGUGGUACGCGAGCUGGGUUUAGAACGUCGUGAGACAGUUCGGUCCCUAUCUGCCGUGGGCGCUGGAGAACUGAGGGGGGCUGCUCCUAGUACGAGAGGACCGGAGUGGACGCAUCACUGGUGUUCGGGUUGUCAUGCCAAUGGCACUGCCCGGUAGCUAAAUGCGGAAGAGAUAAGUGCUGAAAGCAUCUAAGCACGAAACUUGCCCCGAGAUGAGUUCUCCCUGAGACUUAGAGUCUCCUGAAGGAACGUUGAAGACGACGACGUUGAUAGGCCGGGUGUGUAAGCGCAGCGAUGCGUUGAGCUAACCGGUACUAAUGAACCGUGAGGCUUAACCUU